rnacentral:rRNA from 1 species
GAUGAACGCUGGCGGCGUGCCUAACACAUGCAAGUCGAGCGAAGCACUUACUUUAGAUUUUUUCGGAAUGACGAAGUUUGUGACUGAGCGGCGGACGGGUGAGUAACGCGUGGGCAACCUGCCCUGUACAGGGGGAUAACAGUUAGAAAUGACUGCUAAUACCGCAUAAGCCCACAGCUUCGCAUGAAGCAGUGGGAAAAACUCCGGUGGUACAGGAUGGGCCCGCGUCUGAUUAGCUAGUUGGUAAGGUAACGGCUUACCAAGGCGACGAUCAGUAGCCGACCUGAGAGGGUGACCGGCCACAUUGGAACUGAGACACGGCCCAAACUCCUACGGGAGGCAGCAGUGGGGAAUAUUGCACAAUGGGGGAAACCCUGAUGCAGCGACGCCGCGUGAGCGAUGAAGUAUUUCGGUAUGUAAAGCUCUAUCAGCAGGGAAGAAAGUGACGGUACCUGACUAAGAAGCCCCGGCUAACUACGUG